CCUACGGGAGGCAGCAGUGGGGAAUAUUGCACAAUGGGGGAAACCCUGAUGCAGCGAAGCCGCGUGAGUGAAGAAGUAAUUCGUUAUGUAAAGCUCUAUCAGCCGGGAAGAAAAUGACGGUACCUGAGUACGAAGCCCCGGCUAACUACGUGCCAGCAGCCGCGGUAAUACGGAGGGGGCAAGCGGUAUCCGGAUUUACUGGGUGUAAAGGGAGCGUAGACGGCAGUGCAAGUCUGGAGGUAAAGGUGGGGGCUCAACCCCCGGACUGCUCUGGAAACUGUACGGCUGGAGUGCAGGAGAGGUAAGUGGAAUUCCUAGUGUAGCGGUGAAAUGCGUAGAUAUUAGGAGGAACACCAGUGGCGAAGGCGGCUUACUGGACUGUAACUGACGUUGAGGCUCGAAAGCGUGGGGAGCAAACAGGAUUAGAUACCCCUGUAGUC
rnacentral:rRNA from 1 species